AUAAAACAAAUGUCUCUUCCCGACAGGAUUUCUUUAUUAGGAAAAACUCACUUCAGUCGCGGCGUGUUGUUUGGCGAAUAUUAAUACAGAAAAAAGUAAAAUCUUAAUACUGGAGAAAUGUUUAUAUAACAAUGAGUUAUGAUUUUCACAACUGGAAGACUAGAUUACUCAACAUCUUGUUAUUCGUCUGGCUGGGACGAGGUAUUUGUCACAGUUUUUGUGUUUUUUGACAGGACAGUUUCAUGGCUGUUUUUGUUACCUCAGACUCACACACCCACACACCGGUAAGACAAGGCUUCCACAACAGACAGCAUCAUGUGAUGUCUCUCUUACAUACAGGCAUACCCGAAUUUAAGUACACAAUGGGACCAAAGCAUGUAUGUAAAACAAAAAAUGUACUUAAAGUGAAGCAAUACCUUUUUUCACUUCCCAAUGCAUGUACUGCAUUGUAAUAGUUAUUUACAGGCAUACCUGAUACUGCAACUGCAGAUUUCCAGUGGGCUUUUAUUCAGUUAACACGAG